GUCUUACUGGGGCCCCUGCACCCUUCUGCCAAGCAAUCAAUCUGUCUCCUGCUGUCAUGCAUGGCCCUGGGGCUUGGCCUCAACUUCCGCUCUGAGAUCAGAGCAGGCAUCGAGCAAAGAGAAGCCAGGCAGUGGGAGCAGACACCUCUGAGCCUGCAGGUAAUCAAAAUACUUGUUUGAUGUGAAAAGGAAGUACACCAACUGAGCCAUUCAGGGAGAAUUGAAAGGUUAACUCCACCGCAUGCCUCUUUUGAGUACAUGGAAGACGGUCUUUGAAAUGGGAGCAUCAUAUACCUCUCGGCUCCAUUAAGGCUGAGGAGACCAUGCAUGUAGACCAUGCAUGGGAAAACUCUCCUGAUCAACUUUACCUAACAG